CUAACUAACCACCCUGAACACAACCUCUGGCUUUGGAAGCUGAGCUGGUCAGGCCUGGUUAUUAGUUCUUGGAUGGGAGGCCAUCAGAGAAGACCAGAAGC
rnacentral:rRNA from 1 species